CAGUAGCCACGGUAAUACGAAGGGGGCUAGCGUUGUUCGGAAUUACUGGGCGUAAAGCACACGUAGGCGGAUAUUUAAGUCAGGGGUGAAAUCCCGCAGCUCAACUGCGGAACUGCCUUUGAUACUGGGUAUCUUGAGUAUGGAAGAGGUUAGUGGAAUUGCGAGUGUAGAGGUGAAAUUCGUAGAUAUUCGCAGGAACACCAGUGGCGAAGGCGGCUAACUGGUCCAUAACUGACGCUGAGGUGCGAAAGCGUGGGGAGCAAACAGGAUUAGAUACCCCAGUAGUCCCUGUCUCUUAUAC
rnacentral:rRNA from 1 species